rfam:Ixodes scapularis strain Wikel colony gcontig_1107728898712, whole genome shotgun sequence.
AUCGCUUCUCGGCCUAUCUGGCUUUGAUCGUAUGUGUAGUAUCUGUUCUUAUCAGCUUAAUAUCUGAUAGGGGCCCUAUAUGGGUCCUCGAUAUUAACUUUAUUUUUGCAACCAGGUGGGGUACUCCGGGCUUGCCCGGAACCUGCCAGGGUCGGCCCUGUAUUGCACUAGAGCAGGGAUCGGCCCAGUUCCU